GACGAACGCUGGCGGCGUGCCUAACACAUGCAAGUCGAACGAAGUGGCGAACGGGUGAGUAACGCGUAAUCAACCUGCCCUUCAGAGGGGGACAACAGUUGGAAACGAAUGCUAAUACCGCAUACUGAAGGAGGGGUUUGCGUCGGAUUAGCUAGUUGGGGGGGUAACGGCCCACCAAGGCGAUGAUCAGUAGCCGGUGUGGAAGGGUGAAAGGCCACAUUGGGACUGAUACACUGCCCAGACUCCGACGGGGGGCAGCAGUGGGGAAACAUCCGCAAUGGAGGAAAGUCUGGCGGAGCAACGCCGGGUGAGUGAUGGCGGCCUUCGGGUUGUAAAGCUCUGUUAAUCGGGACGCGGUACCGGAAUAGAAAGCCACGGCUAACUACGUGCCAGCAGCCGCGGUAAUUC
rnacentral:rRNA from 1 species